rnacentral:rRNA from 1 species
CCUACGGGCGGCAGCAGUGAGGAAUCUUGGUCAAUGGGCGUAAGCCUGAACCAGCCAAGUCGCGUGAGGGAUGAAGGUUCUAUGGAUGGUAAACCUCUUUUUUAAGGGAGUACAGUGUGGGACGUGUCCUAUUUUGUCUGUGCCUUAUGCAUAAGGCUCGGCUAAAUCCGUGCCAGCAGCCGCGGUAGUACGGAGGAUCCGAUCGUUAUCCGGUUUUAUUGGGUUUAAAGGGAGCGUAGGUGGAUUGUUAAGUCAGUUUGGAAAGUUUGCGGCUCAAGCGUAAAAUUGCAGUUGAAACUGGCAGUCUUGAGUACAGUAGAGGUGGGCGGAAUUCGUGGUGUAGCGGUGAAAUGCUUAGAUAUCACGAAGAACUCCGAUUGCGAAGGCAGUUCACUGGACUGCAACUGACACUGAGGCUCGAAAGUGUGGGUAUCAAACAGGAUUAGAUACCCUUGUAGUC